GACGAACGCUGGCGGCGUGCUUAACACAUGCAAGUCGAACGGAAAGGCCCCCUUGUGGGGUACUCGUGGGGUGAACGGGUGAGGAACACGAGAGUAAUCUACUGUUGUCUACGGGGGAAUAACUGGAAAAAGGGGCGAAUACUGGAGAGGAGGUCCUGCUGCUGGGUGGGGGGGGGAGAGAUUCGUCGGCGGUUGGGGAUGGACUCGCGGCUUAUCAGCUUGUUGGUGGGGUAGUGGCUUACCAAGGCUUUGACGGGUAGCCGGCCUGAGAGGGUGACCGGCCACAUUGGGACUGAGAUACGGCCCAGACUCCUACGGGAGGCAGCAGUGGGGAAUAUUGCACAAUGGGCGGAAGCCUGAUGCAGCAACGCCGCGUGCGGGAUGACGGCCUUCGGGUUGUAAACCGCUUUCGCCUGUGACGAAGCGUGAGUGACGGUAAUGGGUAAAGAAGCACCGGCUAACUACGUG
rnacentral:rRNA from 1 species